UACGUAGGGGGCGAGCGUUGUCCGGAAUUAUUGGGCGUAAAGCGCGCGCAGGCGGCUGUUUAAGUCUGGUGUUUAAUCCUGGGGCUCAACCCCGGGUCGCACUGGAAACUGGACAGCUUGAGUGCAGAAGAGGAGAGUGGAAUUCCACGUGUAGCGGUGAAAUGCGUAGAGAUGUGGAGGAACACCGAUGGCGAAGGCGACUGUCUGGUCUGUAACUGACACUGAGGCGCGAAAGCGUGGGGAGCAAACAGG
rnacentral:rRNA from 1 species